CUCUACCUGCAGUCGAGCGGAAAGGCCCUUCGGGGUACUCGAGCGGCGAACGGGUGAGUAACACGUGAGUAACCUGCCCUUGGCUCUGGGAUAAGCCCGGGAAACUGGGUCUAAUACCGGAUAUGACCACUGGACGCAUGUCCUUGGUGGUGGAAAGUUUUUCGGCUGGGGAUGGACUCGCGGUCUAUCAGCUUGUUGGUGGGGUGAUGGCCUACCAAGGCGACGACGGAUAGCCGGCCUGAGAGGGUGACCGGCCACACUGGGACUGAGACACGGCCCAGACUCCUACGGGAGGCAGCAGUGGGGAAUAUUGCGCAAUGGGCGGAAGCCUGACGCAGCGACGCCGCGUGGGGGAUGAAGGCCUUCGGGUUGUAAACCUCUUUCACCACCGACGAAGCUAACGUGACGGUAGGUGGGGAAGAAGCGCCGGCUAACUACGUGCCAGCAGCCGCGGUAAUACGUAGGGCGCAAGCGUUGUCCGGAAUUAUUGGGCGUAAAGAGCUCGUAGGCGGUCUGUCGCGUCUGCCGUGAAAACCCGAGGCUUAACCUCGUGGCUUGCGGUGGAUACGGGCAGACUAGAGGUAGGUAGGGGAGAAUGGAAUUCCCGGUGUAGCGGUGAAAUGCGCAGAUAUCGGGAGGAACACCGGUGGCGAAGGCGGUUCUCUGGGCCUUACCUGACGCUGAGGAGCGAAAGCGUGGGGAGCGAACAGGAUUAGAUACCCUGGUAGUCCACGCCGUAAACGUUGGGCGCUAGGUGUGGGGUCUUUCCACGGAUUCCGUGCCGUAGCUAACGCAUUAAGCGCCCCGCCUGGGGAGUACGGCCGCAAGGCUAAAACUCAAAGGAAUUGAC
rnacentral:rRNA from 1 species